CAGUAGCCGCGGUAAUACGUAGGUCCCGAGCGUUGUCCGGAUUUAUUGGGCGUAAAGCGAGCGCAGGCGGUUAGAUAAGUCUGAAGUUAAAGGCUGUGGCUUAACCAUAGUACGCUUUGGAAACUGUCUAACUUGAGUGCAAGAGGGGAGAGUGGAAUUCCAUGUGUAGCGGUGAAAUGCGUAGAUAUAUGGAGGAACACCGGUGGCGAAAGCGGCUCUCUGGCUUGUAACUGACGCUGAGGCUCGAAAGCGUGGGGAGCAGACAGGAUUAGAUACCCCCGUAGUCCCUGUCUCUUAUACA
rnacentral:rRNA from 1 species